rnacentral:rRNA from 1 species
GACGUAGGGCGCGAGCGUUUGUCCGGAUUUAUUGGGCGUAAAGAGCUCGUAGGCGGCUUGUCGCGUCGAAUGUGAAAACUCGGGGCUCAACUCCGAGCUUGCAUUCGAUACGGGCAGGCUAGAGUUCGGUAGGGAGACUGGAAUUCCUGGUGUAGCGGUGAAAUGCGCAGAUAUCAGGAGGAACACCGGUGGCGAAGGCGGGUCUCUGGGCCGAUACUGACGCUGAGGAGCGAAAGCGUGGGGAGCGAACAGG